CAAGUCGAACGCGAAAGCCCCCCUCGGGGGGCAAGUAGAGUGGCGCACGGGUGAGUAACACGUAGGUAAUCUACCUUUGGAUGGGGAAUAACAACCGGAAACGGUUGCUAAUACCGCAUAAUGCAGCGGCACCUAAUGGUGACAGUUGUUAAAGCGGGGGAUCGCAAGACCUCGCGUCUGAAGAGGAGCCUGCGGCGGAUUAGCUAGUUGGUAAGGUAACGGCUUACCAAGGCUAUGAUCCGUAGCCGGCCUGAGAGGGCGGUCGGCCACACUGACACUGACAUACGGGUCAGACUCCUACGGGAGGCAGCAGUCGGGAAUUUUGGGCUAUGGGCGCAAGCCUGACCCAGCAACGCCGCGUGAAGGAUGAAAUCCUUCGGGAUGUAAACUUCGCAAGAACAGGAAGAAUAAGUAAGGGUUAAUAUCUCUUACGAUGACGGUACUGUUUGUAAGCUCCGGCUAACUCCGUGCCAGCAGCCGCGGUAAUACGGGGGGAGCAAGCGUUGUUCGGGUUUACUGGGCGUAAAGGGCGCGUAGGCGGCCACCGCAAGUCGACUGUGAAAUCUCCGGGCUUAACCCGGAAAGGUCAGCCGAUACUGCGGGGCUAGAGUGCAGAAGGGGCAACUGGAAUUCUCGGUGUAGCGGUGAAAUGCGUAGAUAUCGAGAGGAACACCUGCGGCGAAGGCGGGUUGCUGGGCUGACACUGACGCCGAAGUGCGAAAGCUAGGGGAGCGAACGGGAUUAGAUACCCCGGUAGUCCUAGCCUUAAACGAUGAAUGCUUGGUGUCUGGGGUUUUAUAGUCCCCGGGUGCCGUCGCUAACGCUUUAAGCAUUCCGCCUGGGGAGUACGGUCGCAAGACUGAAACUCAAAGGAAUUGACGGGGACCCGCACAAGCGGUGGAGCAUGUGGUUU
rnacentral:rRNA from 1 species